CUGCGAGUUUGGGCUGCCGUAAAAGCUAAGACCAAAUAAUCCAAACAUCGGCGAGUACCAGAAAUGGACGCUGAUGUAAUACUUGCUUGUGCUGCGAAAUCGCUAGUUUCUUACGACGGGAAGUUGCGUAGGUAUGAGACUAGUCCACCAGAUUUUCACCGCAAAAACCAUAUUUUCCAUCAAUUUUCGAUCCGUAGAAGCAUUGGACGUUCCAGCAGAAUUUUUUGAAGACAUGAUUAGAAUCUCGUUUGAAGCUAGAUAGAUCUAUAGCCCCAAAUCGUUUCUCAACUUCUAACCCUCCUUCACCUCAGAUUUGAGCAUCCGGCAUCUAUAAUCCUCCUUCACCUCAUAGUACCUCCAGGCCGGCAAAAAUUUCUACCAAUUAAAUUGUCAUCCAAAAAGCCCCAAUUUGAUCUUGAGGCUAGCCCCAAUUAUCCCCUUCCUGAAAAUUGCGCGAAAGAUUAGGCCUUCGAGAGGUAAUCAAUCUCUGUCCCACGUCGGACCGAGAUGAGGUCGUAUUUAUCCCAUCUUGCAAGCCACUGACUUCCGGCAAUAUUCUGUGGGUAAUCACGACACACUUUCGCGCGGCAACUUCCGUUACUCAGUGGAAACCAAUUUUCGUCACCCGCACAGAGGCCCAUUAGGAUUGGUGCAGUGAGUCUAUUCAAAUGGUUAAUUCAGCCAUUCAUCUUCUAGUCAUGGAGCAUACAAGUACAGAAAAUGAGAUGAUGAGAAAGGGAAACGUAGUUUACGAAUCUAUAUAAGAUCUCCUUGUCAGAGGUGAAUGUUGUAGUGAUCUGUUCUGGCAGCAGCUUUAUGUAUUUAGUAUUUACGGAAAACAUUACCUUAAGGAUGAGGAAUACAUUUACUACUAAUUAAUGUCGUUGUUUGAGUAGAAUUUCAGACUAUAAUUGGGGUUGAAUGACUGGAUAAUGUAAAUACUAGCUUUCUCAAAGACUAUGGUGAUAAUUUGGACUUAUUAAUUGUUUAUACAUGCACACAAUGCUUUUAUUACUGAA